rnacentral:rRNA from 1 species
GAUGAACGCUGGCGGCGUGCCUAAUACAUGCAAGUCGAGCGAACAGACGAGGAGCUUGCUCCUUUGACGUUAGCGGCGGACGGGUGAGUAACACGUGGAUAACCUACCUAUAAGACUGGGAUAACUUCGGGAAACCGGAGCUAAUACCGGAUAACAUGUUGAACCGCAUGGUUCAACAGUGAAAGACGGUCUUGCUGUCACUUAUAGAUGGAUCCGCGCCGCAUUAGCUAGUUGGUAAGGUAACGGCUUACCAAGGCAACGAUGCGUAGCCGACCUGAGAGGGUGAUCGGUCACACUGGAACUGAGACACGGUCCAGACUCCUACGGGAGGCAGCAGUAGGGAAUCUUCCGCAAUGGGCGAAAGCCUGACGGAGCAACGCCGCGUGAGUGAAGAAGGUCUUCGGAUCGUAAAACUCUGUUAUUAGGGAAGAACAAAUGUGUAAGUAACUAUGCACGUCUUGACGGUACCUAAUCAGAAAGCCACGGCUAACUACGUG